rnacentral:rRNA from 1 species
GACAGAGGGUGCAAACGUUGUUCGGAAUUACUGGGCGUAAAGCGCGUGUAGGCGGCUCGGAAAGUCGGAUGUGAAAGCCCUGGGCUCAACCCAGGAAGUGCACCCGAAACUCCCGAGCUCGAGUCCUGGAGAGGAAGGCGGAAUUCUCGGUGUAGAGGUGAAAUUCGUAGAUAUCGAGAGGAACACCGGUGGCGAAGGCGGCCUUCUGGACAGUGACUGACGCUGAGACGCGAAAGCGUGGGGAGCAAAC